rnacentral:rRNA from 1 species
UACGUAGGGAGCAAGCGUUGUCCGGAAUCAUUGGGCGUAAAGAGCGUGUAGGCGGCCCGGUAAGUCGGUUGUGAAAGUCAAGGGCUCAACCCUUGAAAGCCGACCGAUACUGCCGGGCUAGAAUCCGGAAGAGGCGAGUGGAAUUCCUGGUGUAGCGGUGAAAUGCGCAGAUAUCAGGAGGAACACCAAUGGCGAAGGCAGCUCGCUGGGACGGUACUGACGCUGAGACGCGAAAGCGUGGGGAGCAAACAGG